UAUAUAUAUAUAUAUAUAUAUAUAUAUAUAUAUAAUUAAUUAGCGUUUAAAGCGCUAAUAUUAAUGAUAAUAACGUUAAGACGAUAAUAAUAAUUAGCAUUAAAAUAACCCUAUUAACGUUGAAAAGCAUGAUUACGCCAUUUUGAUUUUUCGUGUGCUGGCAAAAUUUGUGUUUUAGCCAAUGUCAAAUAAUGCAAAAAGGACUUAGACCUUUCCUGCACAACUGACUCCCCGUAGUUCAUUUCGAACUUUCGUCGGAUAAAACGUCCAAUAGAUUUCCGUCUUGGUCGGACACUUUUAGAUCUCAGAAUUAUUGAAUAGUCCUGGUCCUUUCAAUCCACAAACAAGCCUAUUCAUAGCCGACCUUACCAUCCUAGCUAAUUCACUGACUCCUGACUUGUUAAAAGAACUACGUAGACAUAAAUCUCUUUUGCCUGGCCCCUUCGUCAUUUGUAACCAGGUCUUACACAAGAAAUUCAGCCAUGUGGUUCUUAACUAAUGCGGAGGUGAACGCCAACGGAGCACGGAUAAAGCAAGUCUGCAAAAACAGACAUUUUAUCAUGGAUUUAAUUGUUGAUUUCCGCCAGCAAAGGCGAAAUCUUUAAAAUCGUCUGAGGAGAUAGAUAGAGACAGCGCAGCUAGGCUGGACGUCCGAAACUUAUCCAGGCUAAAGCCUAAAUCCUCGUUUUGACAGAUUAUUUUCUGAGAACGAGGCUAAAAUGAGUUUCAAGCCAAUAAGAAUUCUAACAGUGCAACAAAUUGUUUUAUUAUCCAAUCAACAAUACUUUAUUUUAAAGUUUAUAUGCUAUCAAAAGUUAAAACUUGUGCAGUGUAGCAUAAAGAAGAUUGUCUUAUAACGCGCCAUCUUCGAUGUUAUUAACGUUUCCUUUUAAUAAUUACGUCACUUCCUUCUGUACAAUUUUGCAAGCACGUAGACUAAAGCUAUAUUCAGCAGAACUAUAAUUAAUUAUUCAUGAAUUUUAAUUUAAAGAGGAAUUGUUGAGGCUGAAUAUUUUUGGUGAAAGAUAAUGUAUUAUAGCUAUAAAAUCGUGACAAGUGUGUUAUAAAAGAAAAAAUAAGAAUACGUAGUCUAAAAAUAACAUUUCAAAACUGAUUAUGUGUAAAAAACAAUUUGCUGCCACUUUUAAAGAUAUUUUCCAAGUUGUUUGUCAGAGAAAAAGAGAAAAUAGAUAAAUUUUCAGCCUUGCUGUUGUUUUCAUUUUGUUUUUAUUGUUCAUCAAUUUUCAGGUUUAUUACUUUUCUUUUAAAAUUGUUCUUAUAGACAAAUGAAGUUUAUGCAAGUUAAGUUAGCUAUUAUUUACAGUUAUAAUAGUAAUCAAAAAUUAAAUUUUAAAAUUUUAGAAUAUUCAAUGAUUUUGCUCCCCCAUAUUACUCAGUCCUCUUCAAAGUUUAGUACUUUUCCAGAUUAUUGCUAAUGGUGGAAAUCUUUAAGCCGUAGGGCUUCUUGUUUAUAGAUAAUUUCUUCCUUUGACAAAACAAUUGGAAACCAUAACAGGUCCAAAUUUAAUGGAUUCUUUUCUUUUAUGCCGCAAGUGUUAUUUAAACAAUUUUAAACAAUUUCUAUAUAUAUAAACUCAGCCCUCGAAAUUAGCCCAAAAACCCGUCGGCAAUAAAUUGUCGACGACUUAGUCGUUUGCAGAGGCAAUUCCUCGGUAAUAGUUUGCCGAUGCGAGAGAGUGACACGUGGGCAAUUUUGAAAAUAUUAUUUUUUUAAGCUUCGUUAGUCUUACUUACCCUUUAGAUAGAUAGAUAGAUAGAUAGAUAGAUAGAUAGAUAGAUAGAUAGAUAGAUAGAUAGAUAGAUAGAUAGAUAGAUAGAUAGAUAGAUAGAUAGAUACAGUACAGUCCAGAUGUAAGCGUACGCGUACGCUCAAGUUUCACACCUUUUUCUCGGAGGCGGUAGUUGUUUGUCUUUUGUUCUUAUUAAUUAUCUUGGAGUCUUGUAAGUCAUUAACUUGCGCGUAAUAAACAAAAGAUUAUUGAAGAAAAAAUAGCUUAUUAUAACUGCGCGUAACUAUUGUUAAAUAGUGUUAACAUAACUAUUCCCAAUAGCAUAAUUGCAAAUGUUAUCAACUCUAUCAAUGUGACACGAAGAGCCAUUGUUUAAUAUUUUUAUUAAACAAAGGUUUUGCGUGGAAACUAAAUAGACUAGCGAGAAGGCAUUGUUGGUUGCGCGGGUUAAAUAAAGCCUUUACGCGAUAGAAAUUAUUUUAUUUUAACAAAGAUUGAAAAUUUUUUUAGAUUGCAUUUUAAAACUUUAAAAACGAAAAACGGCGAUAUAAAUGUAAUUUUAGAUCGCAUUAUAAAAGUUUUAAAACGGAAAACGGCGAUAGAUAUUUUUUUUUUUAGAUCGCAUUUUAAAAGUUUUAAAACGAAAAACGGUCUAUAUGUGUCUCUGUCUUGUUAUGCACAUCAUGGUCGAUCUGCUGUUGUCUUCGUUCCUCUUCUAAAUUUCUGGUAUGUGUCGCUGAUCGCCGUUUUUCCAUGCUGGGUAAGUGGUCUUGUAAUGGACAACCUAGCAGGAGUUGAGCAGGGCUUGAUUCACAUUGCAAUGGUGUCAUGCAUAUUGCCAUUAAUCCUGCUUUGAUGUCUUCCUUGCUUUCAAUGCAUUUCUUCAUCAUGCUUUUGAUUAUUUUGACUGCUGCUUCAGCAAGUCCAUUAGAUUGUGGCUAUCUGGUACUUGACGUUUUAUGUUAAAAGCCCCAUUCUUUAGCAAAAUCUCUGAAGAGUUUGGAUGCAUACUGUGGUCCAUUAUCUGAGAAUACCUCAUCUGGAAUACCGUUCCUGGCAAAGGAAUCCUUAACUGCUUCUAUUACGUUGGCUGAUUUACUUUGUUGUAGUUUAUACAGCUCUGCCAUAAUGAAUAGUAUUCUGUAAUUAUCAGGUAGGUUUCAUUAUAAAUUUCAGACAAAUUUAAUCUUCUGCCAUGGUUUAGUUGGUAAUGGUGGAGCAGUUAAAGGCUUGGCUCCCUUUUAUGCUGCAUAUUUGGCACACGUUAUACACCUUUGCACUAAGUAGAGAACUUAGUGCAAAGGUGUACAACAUGUUGAUUCAUCCCGGCCAAUAACAGCUCUGUCUGGCAUGUUGCUUUGAUUUUUCAAUGCCUUGGUGACCCAUGUGUAUGCGGUUCAAAAUAUCUGUUCUCAUGCUUGUUGGUAUUAUAUAUCGCGUUCUCCUUUCACCAAGAUACCUUUAAUUUCAGAGCGAUCGUCUGCUGUCAAAAUAAGGUUGGCAUGCCUCUGGGCAUUUAUUUUUUGAUGUAGGCCACCCUUCUUGAAUUAUUUGUUUCUAAUAUUGUAACUCUGGGUCCCUCUGAGUAUGUCUCUUUAUCUCCUCCAAUCUAGUAUUUGAAGUUGGCAUUUUUCGUUUUGUCAAUUCUAUUUGUGUUAACCUCUUGUUCGACUAACAGGUCUGUGUUGGUGCCCUAGAUAAUGCAUCAGCAUCCUUUAGUUGGAUGCCCUUUAUGUGGUGUGCAGUGAAGGAGUAUUGUAGUAAGGUCAUCCUCAUUCUUUGGAUGUGUGGUGACAAAAAUGCAACCAACAUUUUUGGGUUUAGUAUUGGUAUCAGUGGCUAAUGGUCCGUUUCUAUCGUAAAUUCUGGUAGGCCAUGUAUGUACAUAUGUGCAUUUUCCUACAUCCACAUGAAACUGCUAGCAUUUCUAUCUGUAUGGAAUGGCAGUUCUUUUCUGUAACUGUUAAAAAUCUGGACGCACAGGAAACUGGAUGCCACUUUUCCCGAUGUUGUUGGUAUAAUAUCACACUAAUUCCAUUCAACUUGCUACUAUCCACUCUAAAUUUUGUGGCUUUUGUCACAUCAUAUAACUUCAAGAUUUUGGGUGAUGUUAAAAGUUUCUUGAUCUCCUAGAAUGCUUGGUCAUGGACCAAUGUCCAUAGCCACAAAUUUUUAGUCGACAACAAGUUCCUAAACAAUACGGCUAUCAGUGCCAAUCUGUCCGUGUAUUUUGACAUUUGAUGGGCCAUACCCAUAAAUAAUAAUUCUGUUAAGGUAUUUGGAGUUGGAUAGUUGACGAUUGCAUCAGUUUUAAAUGUUGAUGGUUCUACUCCACUUGGAGAUAUUUUAUGUCCUAAAAAUUCAACUUUAUUUGUUUUGAACUUGCACUUUGCUGGGUUAAGUACCACUCCCUUUGGCGAAAUGUGUUUAAUAGUUUGUGCAUUCUUUCAUCAUGGUUUUUUCAUCAUGCCAGUCUUUCAUCUACUUACUCCAGUUGAUAUAGUUCUCUAUCAAUACAGCUGUUUAGUUUAGUCAAGUCUAUACACAGACGGAUGUCCUUGUUGUUGGGCUUUAGUACUGCCACUAUUGGGUGGCACCAGUGGGCUGGUCAACUUUUGUGAUAACUCCUAACAAUUCCAUUCGUAUAAUUUCCAUUUCCAAUUUCCAUUCUACAUCCCCCAAUCACGUAAAUACUUUUGGGUAUUCUGUCAGGAAAACAUUGCUUUUUUUUACCAUUGGCGUCCUUUUCUGUCUUUAUUUGUCCACAAGACACUGUCUGUGUUGCAUGUAGUGUUGCUACUUUUAAUCGAUUAAUGGCUGGUUUACCUAACAAUGCACAGGUUAGGUUGUCACAUACAUAUACAAUUUCUUUGCACUCUUCUUCACCCCAUCCAAAAUCCAGGUAUGUGUAUCCCAACCAUUUCGGGGGUUGAUUUGCUGGACCUUUUAGUUUCUUUCUGGUUGUUUUUAAUAAGUUUUUGUUCAAGUUCAACUUUUUAGAUCAUCACUUGGUAUAACCGUUACAUCUGCUCCAGUGUCUAUUUUAAAGUUGAUGCCCCCCUCCAUUUGGAGUCAGCAUUUCUAUUUUCUAAGAAAAUGCUUCAUUAUGGCUGUUUACAGAGCCUAUAGGAAAAGCAACCCUAGACUUUCCGUUGCUUCUUCUUCUUCCUCCACAUUGUCAAUCCAGCCAUGACAAACUUCACUUCCUUUUUUCAUGGUCCAAUGAUUAGGUAAAAUAUCUGGAGGGUUAUUUUCGGGCCAAAUGUGAGAAGUAUGUGAAUAACGGCCUUUAGAGCCUUUAUGCUCAAAGUUAGUUUUUAUAUACUACUGAGCAAAUAUGUGACAUCUUUUAAAUGUGACAUCUUUUAAAUGAAACGUCAUUCAGAGUCAACGGUUUUGAGAUCCCUAGUUUUUUUUUUAUUAUGCCAGUAAAAAAUAUCUUAAGUUGUGCAUAAAUAAUUUAUUUAUUAUAUAUAUAAAUUAUAUAUAAACAAAGCAAUUAUUUUGUUUUUCUUUAUAAAUUGUAUGAAAUAGCACCCUAGCUAUGAACAUCUUUCAAUAAUUUGAUCUUGAGAAAGCCCACCAAAGUCUUAACUAAAUAUAAAAAAGUAAUAAGUUACUCAAGCAAACUGCUAAACUGUAAGACCAAAAAAUAUCUACUCUUUACAGGAAAACAUGAACAGGAGAAGCAAGAUUAACAAAAUAACAAUCAGCCACUUGACAGCCUAUAAAACAAUUUCUCAAAAUCACGGCGCUCUAAUAGCGAAAAAAAAUAUCAAAACACCUGCAAAAUACAGUAGUUUGCUGUUUUGUCCCUUACCUAGAACCAUGUUACCAGCCACCCCCCCCCCCCCCCCCCCAUUACCAAUUUUCAAGUCCAAAACUAGUAGCGUAGUGUUGGCAGAAGGUUGGAAAGAUGGUAUACUUUCGCCAAAAAUAUAUUUUUUUAAUUUUGUGUUUUGUUCGACGCAACAACUCGAAAUCCUUAACACACAUGGAUAAUAUAUUUAUAUAUCUAUAAAGAAGAAAAGUAUAUUGUUCCAAUACUCUUUAUUUCAGUAAAAUUAUAAUAAUACAAAAAAAGUUCCAAUAACUUAAAAGAUGAUAAAAAUACAAAGUUUAAGAAAAAAUACGGAAGCCGUUUUGAUUUUGUACGCUUUUCACCGUAGCGAAACAGCUGUAAGCUCUUGUUACUAUCUUAGAAUGUAAUAAUAAUAAUAAUAACAAUAAUAAUAAUAAUAAUAAUAAUAAUAAUAAUAAUAAUAAUAAUAAUAAUAAUAAUAAUAAUAAUGAAUAUUUUUAGUGGCAUGCCCAGAAAGACCACUUUGCUUUUUAGACAGCAAUUACAAUUCUUUCCACUGGGGGCCACUAAAAUAUGUGUUGCUCAACAAAAAGUGGGGUAUUUCAUUGUUUACUAUACAACCCCCUGCAAGUGUAUGAAAAUCAUAAUCGAUAAAGUGAGAAUAGCUGUCAAUCAUAUUUUUUAAAGCAAUGGGUGAUGUUAUGCAACACAGUUUAGCAUAUGGGCUAUCUUUUGCGAAAAAUAUUGACUAAGAAAAAACACAACAUUUAAACACCCCAAAAAAGGUACUGAUUGUGUGAAGCACUUCCUUGUUUUAAAAAAGAAAAUUAGGUACACAUGUGUGUUUAUUUACCUUUCAAACUUCCAAAAGCUUUCAAAAAAGGAUAAAUCCUACUAUACUGGAAACUUACACUUGCAGACGGGACUCUACUUGCAGAUCCGUACUUGCUACAGGCUAGUGAUUGGAGUGACAAUGUUUUACUAAUUCCAGAUAUAAGUUACGUUGAUUUGUAUGCAAAUUUGGUUCACACACCAAGUGAGCUCACACACAAGUCACCUAAAGCACAAAAUCCUUGAAGGCUACUUUUACCUAUCUGGGCAUGUACAAGAAGUUUAUUGUCACCACUUAAAAGAAUUCUGCCACAUAAGUUCUUCCACGCUACUAAUCCAAAGGCAGGGGAAAGCUCAAAGAUUGUACGAUACUUGGGUUGUAAUGCCCAAAACAGGUUGGAUUGACUUUGCAAAUGGCACCUGUGUAUAACGUAUAUAUAAAUAUUAUGAAUUAUCACAAUAUCAACUUUUUCUAGGCUUGGCUUAGCUUGCAGUCAUGUUGCUGCAUUAUGUCGCAUGUGCUACAUUGGAGCUGAAUAAAACGGCAUAUCCUAGUGUUUGUGUUCUUAGAAAAAAGCAAGAAAAAGAAUUCAUCUUUUCAGGUUCAUCACCCUUAAGCAAGAAUCGAAAAGAACAGAAACACUUCCAAAAAUUGAUGAUCCUUUUGAAGACACAUUAAAAGUUUUUGUAUCACCUGAUCUAAUAAAAAUAUUUACUAAAAAAGAUCAAGGACAUCUCGAUAAAGUUAAAGGCGCGUAAUCACCCUGUUGGCAAAUUUUUUGAGGCGCCUAUUUUAUCGUAAAUAUUGAAAGAUAUGAACAAGAAAACAUUGCCCUGAAAAUUUUUUGAAAACUGACAACCGGAACAUGUUUAAAUGUUUUAUAGAAAUAACAAACUCACCCCAGUUUCUCUUCGCCUACAGAACCGCCAUUGCAUUUCAUUGCACGAAUCAUGCGAUAAUAAACGCACAGCUAAACCGAUCACAUGUUUGCUGGAUUCAUGCCAUUACGGAAAAAAUAAUGAAUGAGAGAGUAUCCGGAGCUGUGUUUCCAUCGUAAUGCUUUUAUAAAUGUAUCAACAAAGUUCCGAACAUGAUAAAUCAGAUAAAUCAAUCAAAGUUUCUGUGUUAUUCUGUGUUGAAAGCAACAUUGACCACUUCUUGUUGUUGUGAAGACAGCUUCGCCUGGCUAGCUGUCUUACUUUUUGAUUAUUUUCCUUUGUUCAAACAAUUAGUCGUUUCCUUAUGGAGACAGUAUCAGAUCUAGACAAUUAGAAUACUUAAAUUUCCCCUUUCAUGCUCUAUAUUUAAUUAUCUCCAUAGUGCUUUAACUAUCUUAAACUAUCACAAUGAGCAUUCUCCCUGUUGGGUUUUUUAGCUUAUAAUAUGCAAUAAUCCCGAUCAUCAAUAAAAAAGAAAGAGCGUGAUAAGCAUUAAUUAUCAUAAUUAAUAACCACAAGGCACUGCUGUGAUUUCUUCUUUCUGCUUUGUUUAGUCUGUUCUCCAAAAACAAUGGCGAAUAGAAUAGAAGAAUAUUAAAUCUAAGUGGAGAAAGUGAUAUGGAUGUUUUUACGUGCGACCUCUUUUUUAAACAAAACCAAAAUUUCUUUCCACUUUUUGAUGGCAUGUUUUACAAAGAAAAACAAGCCAAAAAGAACAGACUGAACGAAGCCUACCAUAAUGCCGAUUAUAUCGAACUUCAUCUCAGUGCUCAAUUAAAGAUAAUGCUGUUUGUUUACCUAUGGUUUCACACGAACAUUUUGCGACGGCCCACUUAUUAGACGAGAAUAAGAGAUCAACAAGAACGUUGAAUAUGACGACUGGAAAAAAACAAAACAAUAAAUUCAAGAUAUUGAAGUACCAUUAUUUUCAUUUCUAGUAGGUUUUAUAUCCUCAAAUUUUCAGGAAAGUCAUAACUCAGUCUAAACUUUGAAAUAAAUAUAAAAAAUGUAUAUAGUAAUUUUUUUUCGAUAAGGGUGAUUACGCGUCUUUAAGGCAGAUUGCUCCAGAUAUUGCUAUUUUUAAAAGCAUAAGUUAAGGCCUUGACGAUGAAUAAAACCAGGACAGUGACACAGGUAGUGCAAAAAAAAUGAACAAAAUAACCUUCCUGAACCUCUGACACCAACAACAAUAAAUAAAACUGAUGCAGCAAAAUAAAAAGUAUUGAAGUUAUGAAAUAAAUGCAAAGUCGUGUUUCCAAAAUCAAUAUGGUAAUUUAAAUAAAGUAACAAAAACUUAAAGUAUCAGUAGCAAAUGGAUGUUGCACAGGGCUAGGUGUAUAACUGCAUCAUUUUAAAAUCUGGCUUAACAUGUGAAUGACAUUGAAUGGUAUCAUUAUUCAUGCGUAAACAUAACUAGAGCUCCUAAAAACUGGUUAUGUCCAAACUGUUCCAAAAAGAAUUAGAAACCUAAUUUUUUUAAGUUGAAGUAUAUAUGUUUGUAUCCGGAAAGGUUAUGUAUAAAGUAUAUAUGUAUAAGUAAGUUAAGAUAUACAUAAAAAGUUAGUUAAAUUUACAUCUAUAUAUAAUUUACAAAAUGCCUUGGCUUAUAUUGAUUAGUGCACAAACAAGCACCAUUACAUUAUCCAUUAGGUCGGUAAUGGGAAUAGUCGUACUUAGAAUAAAAAAGUUCCUAAUCUUCCAAUAACCCUCUCAAUAUGUAUUCACACAUUUGCAAUCUGCCUUGACUGAUCAACAUCAGCAGCAGACAUUUGGUCCUUUCCUUGAGUAAAUUCUGGGGUCUUCAAAAACGCUUCUCUUGUGGCCAACUCUUGUUAAAUCAGAAAAUCUCUAUUUGCUAAAACCAUAUCACCAUUCUCUACCAAGUCCAUAACUACACUUUUGAUGUUGAUUUCUUUAUCUGAUCUUGUCAAGCAAUUAAAUAUUUAAUAGUAUUGGUACUUUUGUAAUUGGACCAAGUUUGUGCCCUAGCAUUCAAGCUGAAUGGUUGCUGAAUAAAAAUUUCUGUACGGUCUAUUAUGCAACAACAGCUUUUGUAACAUCGAAAACAUUUCAGUAAAUUCAUGCCAUAUUAGUGUAAACAAUAAUGACUUUGCUAACAGUGGUAACUCUUAUCGAUGGAUGCGAGAAAUCACAAUUGGUCGAACUAUAUGCAAUGUUUUUAUUAAGGAGUCCAAGUUUCAAGUUAAGGAGGAACACAAGGACAUGAUCUUUUUGCAUCAACAAUUUUGUUUCUGGUCUUACUAUGGUCUUAACAAUAUUGACCACCCAAUUGAAUCUUCCUUUGAUGAAGCCACUAUAAAAAAAGAUCAUGACAUUCUUUCAAUGACCUAUAGCAAAAUUUACUGACUGAAAGAGUUUUGUUUCUGUUUCAUGUGUUUUAAAAUUAUAUACAUAUAGCAAAAUUUACUGACUGAAAGAGUUUUGUUUCUGUUUCAUAUGUUUCAUUCAUUCUAUUUGCAUGGUCAUUACUUAAUCCCUUGUAUUUGUUUGAAAUAUUCUGUUUUUUAGCCGUCUCAUUAUUUAAUUUUUUUCUCCAGUUCUUAUACCUUGUCACAUAAUUCUGACAUUGAAGGGGCUUUUUUUCUUCUGCCAGAUCAUUGUCAGUUUCGCUUUUGUGUAGGAAUUCAGGUGCUAAUUUUCAUCGUUUUGUGAGUCUAGAAUAUCUCUCGUACUUUCUUUUUUCAGUUACUCUUUUUUCAGUCCCUGCAAGUACUGAGGGUAUCUAGUCUGGGUUAGAUGGAUACUUGGACUUUUUCCUGAAAAAAAGGCACAAAAAAACUUUGAGAGAAAAGAUUUGGCUGAAGAGGUUAGAAAACGAGGAUGUUUCACACUGCUUUACAAAACAACUUUUAAAAAACAGUGCAGUAGGUCACUUACUAGAUACAAAGUGUAAAUGACACAUUUUGGCA